AUUGAACGCUGGCGGCAGGCUUAACACAUGCAAGUCGAGCGAGCGGCGGACGGGUGUGUAAUGUCUGGGACCCUGCCUGAUGGAGGGGGAUAACUAUUGGAAACGGUAGCUACUACCGCAUACUAUCCGAUGUGCCCCGAGGGGAUUAGCUAGUAGGUGGGGUAAUGGCUCACCUAGGCGACGACCCCUAGCUGGUCUGAGAGGAUGACCCGCCACUCUGGAACUGAGACACGGUCCAGACUCCUACGGGAGGCAGCAGUGGGGAAUAUUGCACAAUGGGCGCAAGCCUGAUGCAGCCAUGCCGCGUGUGUGAAGAAGGCCUUCGGGUUGUAAAGCACUUUCAGCGAGGAGGCGUUACUCACAGAAGAAGCACCGGCUAACUCCGUGCCAGCCGCCGCGGUAAUAC
rnacentral:rRNA from 1 species